rnacentral:rRNA from 1 species
AACGCGAAGAACCUUACCUGGGCUCGAAAUGUAGAGGACGAUCACAGAGAUGUGAUUUCCCGAAAGGGUCUCUAUAUAGGUGCUGCAUGGCUGUCGUCAGCUCGUGCCGUGAGGUGUUUGGUUAAGUCCAGCAACGAGCGCAACCCUUAUCGUUAGUUGCCAGCGCGUAAUGGCGGGAACUCUAACGAGACUGCCUAGGUUAACUAGGAGGAAGGCGAGGAUGACGUCAAGUCCGCAUGGCCUUUAUGUCCAGGGCUACACACGUGCUACAAUGGUCGGUACAGAAGGCAGCGAAACCGCAAGGUGAAGCAAAUCCCAAAAGCCGAUCUCAGUUCAGAUUGUAGUCUGCAACUCGACUACAUGAAGUUGGAAUUGCUAGUAAUGGCGUGUCAGCAACAACGCCGUGAAUACGUUCCCGGGCCUUGUACACACCGGCUAC